rnacentral:rRNA from 1 species
UACGGGGGGGGCAAGCGUUGUUCGGAAUUACUGGGCGUAAAGGGCUCGUAGGCGGCCAACUAAGUCAGACGUGAAAUCCCCAGGCUCAACCUGGGAACUGCGUCUGAUACUGGAUGGCUUGAAUCCGGGAGAGGGAUGCAGAAUUCCAGGUGUAGCGGUGAAAUGCGCAGAUAUCGGAAGGAACACCAGUGGCGAAAGCGGCUUCCUGGUCCAGCACCGACGUUCAGGCACGAAAGCGUGGGGAGCAAACAGG